AAAUCUCUUUCACCCAUCAUUCUGUCACAACAUGGCGGUCUGAUUUCUUGUGUUUUCAAACAAUGGUGUUCCCUCACCAGGCCAUGACAAAGAUAACAGUUUGAGGGUCACUAGCAUUCUGUCACAUUCCAAGUUAUCUGACAGCUCUGAGCUUUUGUUACGGUUUCAUUACCUUCUGCAAUACUUCUACACCUGACCAGGCGAAAGAGCAGC